ACCUGGUUAUAUCCUGAGACAUUACCUGGUUAUAACCUGGUUAUAUCCUGUGACAUUAGCUGGUUAUAACCUGGUUAUAACCUGGUUAUAUCCUGAGACAUUAC